AACGAACGCUGGCGGCAUGCCUAACACAUGCAAGUCGAACGAAAACUUCGGGCCUAGUGGCGCACGGGUGCGUAACGAGUGGGAACCUGCACGUAGGUUCGGAAUAACUCCCCGAAAGGGGUGCUAAUACCGGAUAAUGUCUUCGGACCAAAGAUUUUUCGCCUCUGGAUGGGCCCGCGUUGGAUUAGCGAGUUGGUAGGGUAAAAGCCUGCCAAGGCGACGAUGCAUAGCUGGUCUGAGAGGAGGAUCAGCCACACUGGGACUGAGACACGGACCAGACUCCUACGCGAGGGAGCAGUGGGUAAUAUUGGACAAUGGGCGAAAGUCUGAUCCAGCAAUGCCGCGUGAGUGAUGAAGGCCUUAGGGUUGUAAAGCUCUUUUACCCGGGAUGAUAAUGACAGUACCGGGAGAAUAAGCUCCGGCUAACUCCGUG
rnacentral:rRNA from 1 species